ensembl:lncRNA
GCUGCAGUGAUGGGUCUGACUUUGAGUCAGACACAGUACACCAGCCUACUAAAAGAGUAGCAGCUCAAGGUAAGGUUGUGUUGUCACAUUGCAUUACAUUUCCAUUUUAUGUCCUGCUGUCACUGUUUUUGAUUAUGUGCUAUUAAUGACGAGAGAAACCAGAAUGUUAUUAGUUGAUGUCUUUGUCAUUACAGGUUCUUCAGUAGCUCCAACAGCUAUUUCAUCUUUGAAGCGCAGCAAACAAGAAAACGUUGUCUGGAAGCUAAAGCUGGAGAAUGCAAAAGAAAAAAUUAAGUCCUUGGAGAAUGAAAGGGACUUCUUAAGGAACCAACUGUCUGAGGCUUUGGCGCUUGCAAAUAAAGAGGACCAAGAGACAGCAGCGCCCUCCUUGCACGAAAAGAGUAUUGAAAAAUCCUCUUCAUCUUCCUCCUCCACCUCCUCCUCAUCCGACAGUUCCUCC